rnacentral:rRNA from 1 species
GUAGCAAUACACGAGUGGCGCACGGGUGAGUAAUACAUGGGAACGUGCCCUUCAGUCCGGAAUAACAGCGGGAAACUGCUGCUAAAACUGGAUAUUCCCUCCGGGGGAAAGUUUACGCUGAAGGAUCGGCCCAUGCCAGAUUAGAUAGUUGGUGGGGUAAUGGCCUACCAAGUCUACGAUCUGUAGCUGGUCUGAGAGGACGACCAGCCACACUGGAACUGAGACACGGUCCAGACUCCUACGGGAGGCAGCAGUGGGGAAUAUUGGACAAUGGGGGAAACCCUGAUCCAGCCAUGCCGCGUGAGUGAUGAAGGCCUUAGGG